GCCGAAGUGGCGGAAUUGGUAGACGCGCUAGAUUCAGGGUCUAGUGGACAAUCGGGUCCGUGGGGGUUCAAAUCCCCCCUUCGGCACCA
rnacentral:tRNA from 1 species